GGGCUGCUCGGGCGCCGAGCCUCCUGCGCUCCGGGCGCGGAGGGCCGGCCGGUCGCCUCCACUCGUCCGCGGCGGCUCUCGGCGCGCCGGCCCCGCUCAGGCUCUGGUGUCCCCUCUCUCCGGACCUUCUCUCCGGGCUCGUGUCCCCUCCGCGGGCUCCCCCGGCGGCCGGCCCGGCCCGGAGGCUCGCGGCCGGAGCGGAGCGGAGUGCGCACGCCGGGGUGGCGGGACUUCGGCAAGACCAACUUUCCGAAUCUUCCCGCUACCCAGCCGCGGUUCUCCCGCGCGCCUCUAAUUGUGUAAGUUUCACGAAGCAACAGCUUUGGGCUCCAGGAAAAGCGCAGGAAAAUCAUACAGAGGAAGGAAGUGCACAGGUUGGAAUCAUCUCCAAAGAGACCCCGCCGCCACUUUUGCCACCCUCCUCCCAACCAAUCCCUGAAGGUCGGUUUUGCUUUGCUGUUUGGUGGCAGGCGUAUUCAUUUAGGAAAUUUUGUUUUUGAAAAGAAAAAAAUGACAUCUGAAAGAUGUUCGAAAUCUAGAGUUACCCCCCCCCACACACACACACACCACGGUAGGGCUUUUAUAGUUAAGCUGUGGGGAGAAAGGUCUGUAUCGCUAGUGCGCUGUCAACUUUGGCAAAUGCUGCAAGCAUUUUGGGGACGCUCCGCAUCCGGCGCAGAGGCGCUCGGCAGUGAAAAGUUCGCAGCCAGGGUUUUGGGGCGAGCGGGCCAGGAACUCUCCUGGCAAAAGAGUGGCAAAGAGAGGAGGAGGGAAGAGGAAGGGACGUGUGUUGGUGGGGGAGGGCGGUGGUAGAGAGUGGAAGUUUCUUGCAGAAUUUACAGGACGGACCAGAGUUUGGGGAAGUUGCAGCGCCGCAGCAGAGAGGUAGAUGUCUGCUUCCCGGCAGAGAAAGAACACAAAACGAUCGUCGGUGGGUCGGGUUAAAGGUGCACUGCCUGCUUAAUUCUCUCUUUUUUCCCUCUUUUUACAAAAAUCGACACUUUGGGGAAAAGAAGCAAACGUAGGUUCCCGCGGCGUCCGAAGUCCCUCAGAGGAAGCCCGAGCCCGGCUCCCCGGCAGCCUCCUGGCCCGGUGUCACCGACUCCUCCUCUUUGGGCCGCUUUGCACGCACCGGCCCCACCUUUUUUGUUCCUAAAGCCAUUCGUCCGCCCCUCCCAGCCCCCCACUCUCUCUCCGACACACUGGCACGAUUUCCUUAGGGCUUUCCUGGACUCCUGAACGACACUGCUUAAUUCCGUCGACUUGCUCUGCAUUUUCUACAGUGUGCGGCCGUGGGGAGGAUCUUAAGUCCCUCCAGCGAAGGCGAAAGUGAGACCCCGGCCCUUUAUCUGUAAGAAGCGAGCUGUCAGAUUGCAGAGGUGUCGCGCCCGCCCGCGCUGCGCGUUGUAAGUGCGGAGACACAGCAGGCUGGGCUCGGAGCUGCGGUGAACGCAGUGGUUCCCCCAAAGUGAGCGGCCGCGGAGCAGGACACGGAGCUCGCGGUCUGACCGGCCCGGCGUGGGGUGCGGUCCCCGCCCAGGGCGCGCGCGGUGGGGUCGCCUGGCCGAAGGUGCGGGCUCCACCUCGGCCCCCGCGCUCUCCACGCUGGGAUUUCGUUGAGAAGAUGGAGCAAAGACUUGGACGAAAGAGCCGGGGAGGCUGUGAAAGGGGCACCUACACAAAUUCCCCGCCACUGCCAGAAUGGUGCGGAUCAGUAAAUUGUGUGGCGCACCUUUUAAAAAAUUGAUUCGGGUGUUCAAGAUCAAUAAAAUUAAAAAAAAAAAGUAGAGGCCGAAAAUAAAAGGCGAGUUACCUUCUGAGUUAACCUGUUCUCCCUUCCUCGCCUCCCUCCACCGAGGUCUGAAACUUUUCUUUAAUUGUUUUUAUUUAGUGCAGCAAGUUUUAAUGAAAGCACAGGCGUCUAAAGUUUGAGUUCCAGCAAUAGGUUUAUCGCCAGGCGACAACGUGUCAAGCAGAAUAUCUUCACAGAUGAGGUACAGGAUGUGUCCUCCAGUCACGCCCAGACUGGAGGACCCCCGGAGCUGUGCAUCAGAGACGCAGACACCGAGUCGCGCUGGCGACACACAAGUCCCUACCGUCACAUGACCACUGCCUAUUAGAAUAUUGUGAUACCUAAACACUCUUGCAAAAACAAAAGUUGCUUUUCUUCCCUAUAAUUAAAUCUAAUUUGUUAAUUGUC